UGGGGAAUAUUGCACAAUGGGCGCAAGCCUGAUGCAGCCAUGCCGCGUGUAUGAAGAAGGCCUUCGGGUUGUAAAGUACUUUCAGCGAGGAGGAAGGUGUUGUGGUUAAUAACCGCAGCAAUUGACGUUACUCGCAGAAGAAGCACCGGCUAACUCCGUGCCAGCAGCCGCGGUAAUACGGGGGUGUAAAGCGUAAUCGGAAUUACUGGGCGUAAAGCGCACGCAGGCGGUCUGUCAAGUCGGAUGUGAAAUCCCCGGGCUCAACCUGGGAACUGCAUCCGAAACUGGCAGGCUAGAGUCUUGUAGAGGGGGU
rnacentral:rRNA from 1 species